GUACUUGCUUCGGCAGUACAUAUACUAAAAUUGGAACGAUACAGAGAAGAUUAGCAUGGCCCCUGGAUGAAGGAUGCCGCGCAAUCUUCGAGGAAUGCGUUCCAAGUUU
rnacentral:snRNA from 1 species